CUAAGAAUACUCCGCAAUGGACGAAAGUCUGACGGAGCGACGCCGCGUGGAUGAUGAAGGCCGCAAGGUCGUAAAAUCCUUUUGCUGGGGAAGGAUAAGUCCAGGAGGGAAUGCAUGGAUGAUGACAUGAACCGGCGAAUAAGCCCCGGCCAACUACGUGCCAGCAGCCGCGGUAACACGUAGGGGGCAAGCGUUGUUCGGAAUUAAUGGGCGUAAAGGGCAUGUAGGCGGUUUAGUAAGCUUGGCGUGAAAGACCACAGCUCAACUGUGGGGUUGCGUUGAGAACUGCUGCACUUGAGUUACGGAGAGGGAGCUAGAAUUCCUGGUUUAGGGGUGUAAUCUGUAGAGAUCAGGAAGAAUACCGAUGGCGAAGGCAAGCUUCUGGCCGAUAACUGACGCUGAGGUGCGAAAGUGUGGGGAGCAAACA
rnacentral:rRNA from 1 species